AAGAGGACACAGCCUCAAGUUGUGCCAGGGCAGGUUUAGGCUGGACAUUAGGAAGAAAUUCUGCAUGGAAAGAGUCAUGGAUUGGGCUUCCCUGGGAGGUGGUGGAGUCAUCAUCCCUGGAGGUGUUCAAAGGGAGGCUGGAUGAGGCACUUGAUGACUCUGUGAAAAAAACCCCAAACUCCAAACCAACCUGAUUGAUGUAUCUGCUUUGCAAGAACAACUGAUAACGUGUUUACUGACUGCGACCUGAGAAGCAAGCGCCGUUUGCAUUUUGAGUGGGUGACCCACAAGCUCAAAUAGUCCUAAGUGCUUAGCAACUUGUAUUUCCUAAUAAAAUGCAGAACUGCCUCAACUGCACAAAGCAAUCUGUGAUGAAAAGACUUCCCUGCAUUCCUCAGUGGAAAGGAGAGGUGGUUCCGAUUUUCAGCUUAAGUGAGGCCAACUCGACAGGAGCCCAAGAGCACCACAGAGCAAGCUGCACUGCAGAGCCACUUCAUGCCAAAGCUACAGCAAAGGCUCCUUCCACCACAGAGGGAAACUAAAGGAUACAUCAGUAAGAAUCCCAUUUGACGUCUCACAUGCCUAUCAAGCAGCCAGCACGCAUCCACAUCUGGAGAGUGUUUAGGUAAGAAAGCAAGGCAACAAGCAGCCUCCCCUAAAACAGAGGCAUUGCCUCAUUUUGAAUUGACAACCUUUCCAGGGAUUCCUCUCCCUAAAUCACCCCAGCUCCAGCGGUGAACUUAGAAGCCCUACAAGGAACCUUUGCAGACCACAGGAACGCAAGCACUGAUAAAAGGUCCAGAGAGCCACACACUUUUGUUUUACAUGUGCAUUGAUUUCUUUUGCCCAAAUGGAAGCCCUCUGUCAGCUAACAGGGUUAUUCAUAGAUUCAAAGAGUUGAUCUGGGUCAUUAAUAACAAUAGUAAACUGAUCAUCAUUCCAAUAGGAUUUGACAAUGGCCUUUUUUCAAAGUGGA